rnacentral:rRNA from 1 species
CCUACGGGUGGCAGCAGUGAGGAAUAUUGGUCAAUGGGCGAGAGCCUGAACCAGCCAUGUAGCGUGCAGGAUGACUGCCCUACGGGUUGUAAACUUCUUUUAUAAAGGAAUAAAGUGAGGCCCGUGUGCCUUUUUGUAUGUACUUUAUGAAUAAGGAUCGGCUAACUCCGUGCCAGCAGCCGCGGUAAUCAGGAGGGUCCGAGCGUUAUACUGAUUUAUUGGGUUUAAAGGGAGCGUAGGUGGGUUGUUAAGUCAGUUGUGAAAGUUUGCGGCUCAACCGUACAAGUGCACUUGAUACUGGCAGGCUUGAGUACAGUUGAGGUAGGCGGAAUGCGUGGUGUAGCGGUGAAAUGCUUAGAUAUCACGAAGAACUCCGAUUGCGAAGGCAGCUUACUAAACUGCCACUGACAUUGAUGCUCGAAAGUGUGGGUAUCAAACAGGAUUAGAUACCCCUGUAGUC